rnacentral:rRNA from 1 species
UACAGAGGGUGCAAGCGUUAAUCGGAAUUACUGGGCGUAAAGGGUGCGUAGGUGGUUACUUGAGUUAGGCGUGAAAGUCCAGGGCUUAACCUUGGGACUGCGCCUAAUACUGGGUGGCUAGAGUACUGUAGAGGAAGGUGGAAUUUCCAGUGUAGCGGUGAAAUGCGUAGAUAUUGGAAGGAACAUCAGUGGCGAAGGCGGCUCACUGGCCCGUUUCUGACGCUCAGGCGCGACAGCGUGGGGAUCAAACAGG